rnacentral:ncRNA from 15 species
AUUUGAUGUUGGUGUGAACCUUACAAUACAAUCUUAGUACUAACUUGUUUCUAAUGCUACUAUGUAAUUCGUGCAUUACUGCUAGCCAACAUGAAUAAUAUAUA